rnacentral:misc_RNA from 1 species
UCCGGCUUAACGCCGGCAGUCUCCUUAGAGUGCCACGGCUUUACCCGGGGGCAACUAAGGACAGGGGUUGCGCUCGUUGCGGGACUUAACCCAACAUCUCACGGCACGAGCUGACGACAGCCAUGCAGCACCUGUCUUGGCGCUCCCUUGCGGGCACUCCGGUGUUUCCACCGGAUUCGCCAGAUGUCAAGCCCAGGUAAGGUUCUUCGCGUUGCGUCGAAUUAAACCACAUGCUCCACCGCUUGUGCGGGCCCCCGUCAAUUCCUUUGAGUUUCAGCCUUGCGGCCGUACUCCCCAGGCGGGGCACUUAAUGCGUUAGCGCCGGCACCCAGGGGGUCGCUCCCCCAGGCACCUAGUGCCCAUCGUUUACGGCGUGGACUAC